rnacentral:lncRNA from 1 species
CGUAUUUUCUUCUUGUAAAUUCUUACAAACGUUCAUGUAAAUAAUGACUCCAGUUAUCAUAUCGUAUGUAGGUAAGACUUUAGAGAAAAUUAUUUUCUAGAAUGAAACUAUCUAUUAAUGAUUUCUGAGAAAAUUGAAUUCUUUAGCUUUUAAAUGUGGGAAAAUGCUACACAGGGAUAUAAUUUGUUUAAAGUAAGCUUUAUUUAUGCCAAGGAUUUUUUUUUUCUUUCUUCUUCAACAUCAAGAAAAUAAUGGGAAUUGAUUAGGCCAAAGUUUGCUUUUGCAGAUAUGCUGUUUAUUAUCUUCUGGAUAUCCUUCUCACUUUAUUGUCCUCAAGAGUGUCUGGUUGAAGGGAUGAAGUUUUGCAAAAAUAAACCACUACUGCAGUCAUGCCUAGUGUCUGGAAGAAGAAAAACAAACCAGCAUCAGUUUAAAAAAAAUUUUUUAACCCAAGAAACUUCAAAUGAAUUGUUUCAUAAAGAAGUUCAACAUUGGAGGAAGAAGCUCUAAAAUCAAGAUGCUGUGGCACAUCUUCCCUGUUCCUCUUCUCAGGCACCUCUGCAGAACUCGGGAACACAGAAUUGAAAAUCAUGGAGCUAGACAACUUCUUGUAUUCCCUUUGAGUAUCAAAAGCUCGCUUCAUUACUACUAUUAUUGACUGUAUUUAUAAGCAGGUAACUAAGAUAGGAUGUCUUAGUGAGCAGAUCACAUCUUUAGCAUUUGAUGUUCCUUGUAUGAUCAUGAGAUCUUAAAACUUUAAGAACAAGAGUUUUAAUAUUUUUCAAUAUUAUGUUUUUGAGUAAUACAAUCAAAACAUAGUUAUUGCUUCCUAUGUGGCCAAGUUACUGCUUAGUGGAUGAAAAAAACUUGGUGUUCCAGUUAUAUAUGAACUCAGAACUCAAUUCAUUAAAAUUAUUUUGCUAAGUCAUGCUAAGAUAUAUUGAAAUUUCUACUCAUAUUGUUUUUUUAAAUGUAUUUUGAGUCUGAAAUUAGUAGUGUAGAAAAUCACUAAAAGCACUAUGGCAUAAAAAGACGUAUGUAACUAAGAACGGUGAUAGUAAACAGGUACAGGAGGACCAAACUCUAUACAUGAAAAUUUUUAUGUUAUUUUAUAUUAGAGUGUAUCAGUAUUACUAUUUAUCAUUUAUAUAGCAUUUUAUAUCUGCAAAUUAUUUAAUAAUUUUUGUUUUUCUUUACAUUUCUAUGAAGUAGGACAGUUAUCCCACAUGAAAGGUAAAGAAAUUGAGGCACAGAACAGUAAAGCAGCCUAUUUAAAACAGCCAGUGAAUCAAUGGCAAAAAAUAGGGUUAGAAUGAUCAGGUUUUCUGAAUCCUAGAAUAUCAACUUACUCACAGGUGUAUUGUGUAUCAUUCUCUUUUAUAAGGUGAUUUUAUACAAGUAACAGUUCAUUGUUUUAAAGUUGUUUAGUCAUUGUAUGUGGAUAGAUCCUAUACAGAAUAAAUGCUACAUAAAGAAUGUGAUUUUAGGGGCUGGGAUUGUGGCUCAGCGGUAGAGCGCUCUCCUAGUACAGGCGGGGCCUGGGUUCCAGUCUCAGCACCACAUAAAAAUAAAGGUAUUGUGUUGUGUCCAUCUACACCUAAAAAAUAAAUAUUAAAAAAAAUGCGGCUUUAGUUAUGAAAGUUUAAGUGAUAAAAUUCAGGUUAUCAGGAAUGGCAGUGUUUAGCCAGUGUUUCAUACAUUGUGAAGUAUAAUUAAUAUUGUAUUUUGAUACAGGAGUUUCUUGACUAUCCAUGCCAAUGGAACCAUGAAUGGGCCAGAAAGAUGAAAUCAACAGAUGUUCUAUAAACUUUAUUUUUUAACAUCGGCUUUCUCCCCACAGAACUGUAUUAAUGCCACCAAGAAGUCAAAUAUUUAAGUAUAAUAUUAUUAAGUAUAAGCCAUACAAAGCAAGAGAAGCAAAGGGACUCUUAAAGACAUAAUGUUUAAUUAUUUUUUUAAUAAUGAGGAUUGAACGCAGGGAUGCUUUGCCUCUGAGCUACAUCCCUAGCCCUUUCUUUUCUUUCUUUCUUUUUUUGAGACAAGGUCUUGAUAAGUUGCCCAGGCUGGCCUUGAAUUUGCAAUCCCCCUGCCUCAGUCUCCUGAGUAGCUAGGAUUACAGAUGUUCACCGCUGUGCCCUGCUCAUUAUUUUUAUUUAUUUUAAAUUUUUAAAAAAGUUUUUGGUACCAGAUAUUGGACCUGAAGUGCUUUACCACUGAGCCACAUCCCCAGCCCUUUUUAUUUUUUGAGACAGAGCCUCGCUAAAUUGCUGAGGCUGGCUUUGAACUUGUGAUCCUCCUGCCUCAGCCUCCCAAACUUCUGGGAUUAUAUGUGUGCAUCCUGCUCCCAGGCCACUCAUCAUUUUUAAACAGGAAACUGAAGUCCAGUUGCCUCUUUACCUUUGGACUUGAUUAGAUCUUUUGCAAGUUUGAUUCUAUUGAAUGGCUUAGAAAGUACAUCCAAGAUUUUAUUAUAUUUUGUCUGCUUCCCUCUUUCAAAUUUCUAGAUAAGCAUUCUACUAUACAGUUGAGAUUUCUUGUUUGUUUUUGUUUUGGGUACUGGGAAUUGAGCCUAGGGGCACUUUACUAUUGAGCCACAGCCCUAUUCCUUUUAAUUUGUUGUGUUGUUGUUGUUUGUUUUUAAUUUUGAGACAGGGUCUCCCUUAGUUGUCUGGGCUAGCUUUGAACUGGCAAUCCCCCUGCCUCUCUCACAUUAUAUAGUUUCUUUAUUCCACUAGAUAUACCUUUUUCCUUUUAUCUUUCUAACCCUCACUCCCACUCCUAGUGCUGGGGAUCCAACUAAGGGCAUUGCCCAUACUAGGCAAGCACUCUAUCAAUGAGCUACAUCCUCAGCCCAGAGAAAAUCUUUUAAUUCCUUACUGAUAUUAUGUACUGCUACUUAAUUCCUUUGUUAAGGAUUUACAUUUUUAUUCAGCCUAUAAGGGGGAAAAAUGGAACGAUAUUUGUUUCUAUACCAAGGGUUCUCAACCUUGGCUACACAUUAAAGUUAUUUGUAAAGGUUUUUUUUUUUUUUUAAUUUAUUUAUUUAUUUUUCGGCGGACACAACAUCUUUGUUUGUAUGUGGUGCUGAGGAUCGAACCCGGGCCGCACGCAUGCCAGGCGAGCGCGCUACCACUUGAGCCACAUCCCCAGCCCCAAAAGGUUUUAAAAAUAUAGAUGCCGGGCUGGAGGUGUAGUUCAGUGAUAUGAGUUGGUUGUUUGUCGUGUUCAGGGGCCUGGCUUUGAUUUCCACCACAACCAAAAAAGUAAAAUACAAAACUUAGGCAAAUUAAAAUUUCUAGCAUGUUGGGCCUGGGCAUCAGUGUUUUCUCAAAAACAUCCCAGUGUUUCUUACAUGCAAAAUAGGCCCUCUAGUCAAGAUUUUCCUCUGUCCUCCCCAUACAUAUGCUAGGGAGGGGCAGUAGGACCAUCUGAUUCUUCCUGUCCACAGGAUCUCAAUCCUAUCACAUAAGGGAAUAUUUAAAAAACACAGAUGCAUGGGCCUGGCACAGUGACACAUGCCUGUAAUCCCAGGCUGAGGCAGAACAAUGUCAAGUUCAAGGCUAGCCUCAGCAAUUUAGGCCAUCAGUAACUAAGUAGACCCUGCCUCAAAGAAAAAAGAAAAGAAAAGGUCAGGGGCUGUUCUGCAGUAGUAAAGUCCCCUGGGUUCAAGCCAAAAAGUAAAAUACAAAAUGCAGGCUGGGAGUGUUUUUUAGUGGUACAAUGCUUGCCUGGCAUUCACUGGGUCCAUCUCCAGUACUGCAAAAAGAAAAUAAUAAUAAUAAAAUACAUAUAAUUUUUGUGACAUUUCAAGCCACCGUGUAUGUUCUCUAAUCUGAGUUAUUAAGAGGAUCAGAUAAUCAACAUUCUAGUAGGACGUCUAAAAGUGGCCCAUUUUUACUCGGGGAUAUAUUUGCAUUUUAUUUAAUCAUGGGUGUCACACUCUGGGAAUUCACUUAGUACUGUACUUAAAACUAAUAAAAGAACUAUAUUAUGAGUAUAUGGUUGAAAUACAAUAUAUGAAAUUUGCUUUAGUUUCUUUUAAAAGAAAGGAACCAGAACACUCUUCAAGCACCAUGAAGCUCAAUUGAUACACAUUAGCAUUCCGUAAAAUAAUGCACUGAAUCAAUUUUAUUCCAGUAAAGUGUAAUACUAGCUGCCUGCGGUGGUGAAUACCUGCAAUCCCAGCGACUGGGGAGGCUGAAGCAAGAGAAUCCCAAGUUCGAGGUCAGCCUCAGCAAUUUAGCAAAACCCUGUCUCAAAAAAUAAAGAGGACUGGGGGUGUUGCUCAGUGGUUAAGCACCCCUGGGCUCAAUCUCCAAUUUAAAAAAAAAAAUAGUACUAGAAAGGUAGGACAAUACUAAGAUAUGCUUUUUAAUUUAAUUUUUUAUUUGUUUUGUUUGAAACUGAAUGUUUACCACUGAGUUUACCAGUGUUUACCACAUCCCCAGUUUUUUGGCUUGAGUCAGGGUCUCACCAGGUUGCCAAGGUCAGUUUGCUGUCCCACUGUCUAAGACUUAAGUCUCUGGAAUUACAGGUAGGCACCACCAUGCUCUGCAAAAAGACAUGUUAUUUUAGGGCUGGGAUUGUGGCUCAGCUGUAGUGCGCUUGCCUAGCAUGUGUGGGGCCCUGGGUUCGAUUCUCAGCACCAUAUAAAAAUAAAUGAAUGGAAUAAAGGUAUAAAUAAAAAUUCUAAAGAUGUCUUAUUAGAUUUACUAUUUAAAAAGAUGUGUUAUUUUUAAAAGCCUAUAGAAAACUUUGGAAACAAAAGCCAUUUUCUUCUUCCCUUUACUUCAGUUAUUGCCCUUAAAAAAAAAAAAGAUUUGGCAGGUGGCUCAGCGGUAGAGCGCUUACCUAGCACGUAUGUGAGGCUCUGGGUUCGAUCCUCAGCACCACAUUUAAACAAAUAAAUAAUAAGGGUAUUGUGCUCAUCUACAACUAAAAAUAUUUUUUUAAAAAAAUAAAGCUUUCAAAAUAACUUAAAACAUGGCCAUAAUCAUUUAAGAACUACAUUUGCAGUCCAUACAUGACAAGUAUAUUCAUUGAGUCUCCUACAAAAAAAAUAAUAAUAAUAAUUCCAAUGACGAAAUGGGACUUUUCUUGCAUAAUUCAAAAAUGCUGAAAUAAAACACAGAUACUGUGCCUUUUAUUGUAUAUUGAUUUGACUUAAACUUUUUUCUCUAUCGGGAGGGAAGAGACCCACAACAAGCGCGGGCAGUGGA